rnacentral:lncRNA from 1 species
GGUCCCCCGUUAGCAGCCCGGUUAAGUCUCCCCAUUAGUCAGCCCGGUUUUAGUCUCCCCCAGUUUAGUCAGCCCGGUUCUAGCUCUCCCGUUAGUCAGCCCGGGUAGUUCUCCCCGUUAGUUCAUGCCCGGUUAGUCUCCCCAGUUAGUCAGCCCGGUUAGUCUCCCCAGUUAGUCAGCCCGGUUAGUCUCCCCCAGUUAGUCAGCCCGGUUAGUCUCCCCAGUUAGUCAGCCCGGUAAGUCUCCCCGGUUAGUCAGCCCGGUAAGUCUCCCCAGUUGGUCAGGCCCGGUUAGUCUCCCCCGUUGGUCAGCCGGUGUAGUCUCCCCAGUUGGUCAGACGUGGUUCUCCCAGUUAGUCAGCCCGGUUUUAGUAUCCCCAGUUAGUCAGCCGGUU